GUUACUAUAAGUAAGGAAUAACCUAAAUGCUGAUUUUAGCGCCUCAAAUAUAUUUCAAAGCCAAUUUCAAAAUUUAGGGUUUAUGUUUUAUUGAUUUUAAUGCGAAUUUUGAUUACAUCUCUUAAUCAACUCUCUUAUGCUGCUAUCGAAUUCAUGCUCUCGUUGUCCCUGUCCCUUGAAAUUAGAGUGUUGAUUACGAGAUAUGGUUGAAAUUUGCCGGAAAAUUAAGAAAAAUCAGAUUAAAUGGCUGCUUUGGUCAUUUUAAUUGCAAUUUUGAUUACAUCUCACAAUCAACACGGUAAACAUGAUGAAUGGUGUCCCAAAGUGGCUUAUGUUGCUACGAAAUUUAUGCUCCCGUGUCCCUGUCCCGGUCCCUGGAAAGUUUUAGCGUUGAUUGUGAGAUGUGGUUGGAAUUGGCCGGAAAAUAUAUAAGGUUUUACGUUGUAUGGCCAAAUUUACCUUUUUAAAUAUAUUUAUUGUGGUUACGUUUCUGAUACUUCAAAUUUGGCGUUUCGUAAAUUUGGGCUUUUUCAGAACUAUCGAUUUACUAUCUGGGCAUGCAACUCUGCACGUGUGAGUCAAUUGCGCAGCUAAUCCCUUGCUUAGAUUAGUGGGAAAAGUUUUAAAUUAUUAUGUGGUGAAUGAUGGUUUUAAGGUUAGGUCAAGAAAUGGAUGUUUUAACUAUCUGCUCUUACUGUUUUUUGACUUGAUCUGAAACUAUUAUGCGAUGAUUCGAUCUUAUGCUGGAGUUUAAAUUGCUAUUUUGUA